UUUACAUGCAGCGUAAAAGCGGAGUAAUGGACAAAAAACUACCUCCGCCGAGCAGGUUUUGCUUACGCUGUUUAUGAGCUCUCCCCGAUAAAAGAAAACCGUUUUACGCAUUUAGCGUUAUCAGUUUAUUAAGCUUAAUCGGAGUAAGACUGUGCAUGUAAACGCACUCCUUGGUGACAUAUUUUUUGGCUGAACUAUUCCUUAAAGAACCUAAAAGUUUGCAUGUAAUUAAACUCUUUACAUCUAGGAAUGCAUUUUGAGGUCCAUAUUGCCUGAGCGGUUGGAUCUCAGCAGAGGAUAUGUAGCUAAAAGCCUUUGUUUUAUCUGGAGCAGCAUGAUCCAGCACAGAAUCUGCUUGGCCGUUGAUUAGACUCCACCGUGGCUGGCUUUACACUUCCCGGAGACUUGGACCCCUCCGAGCGGCCGCACAAUGGGAUGGCUCACGUGCCAGAUGAGCUGGUCUCCUGCAUACAGGUAAAGUGAAUGGAGAUCUUGGAUUUGGUUCUGAAACGUCAUAACAGUGAGUACACAACACAAUUUUUG